AAGCGUGCGCAGGCGGUUUUGUAAGACUGUCGUGAAAUCCCCGGGCUCAACCUGGGAAUGGCGAUGGUGACUGCAAGGCUAGAGUUUGGCAGAGGGGGGUAGAAUUCCACGUGUAGCAGUGAAAUGCGUAGAUAUGUGGAGGAACACCGAUGGCGAAGGCAGCCCCCUGGGUCAAAACUGACGCUCAUGCACGAAAGCGUGGGGAGCAAACAGGAUUAGAUACCCCUGUU
rnacentral:rRNA from 1 species